GACGAACGCUGGCGGCGUGCCUAAUACAUGCAAGUUGAGCGAUGAAGAUUGGUGCUUGCACCAAUUUGAAGAGCAGCGAACGGGUGAGUAACGCGUGGGGAAUCUGCCUUUGAGCGGGGGACAACAUUUGGAAACGAAUGCUAAUACCGCAUAACAACUUUAAACAUAAGUUUUAAGUUUGAAAGAUGCAAUUGCAUCACUCAAAGAUGAUCCCGCGUUGUAUUAGCUAGUUGGUGAGGUAAAGGCUCACCAAGGCGAUGAUACAUAGCCGACCUGAGAGGGGGAUAGGCCACAUUGGGACUGAGACACGGCCCAAACGCCUACGGGAGGCAGCAGUAGGGAAUCUUCGGCAAUGGACGAAAGUCUGACCGAGCGACGCCGCGUGAGUGAAGAAGGUUUUCGGAUCGUAAAACUCUGUUGGUAGAGAAGAACGUUGGUGAGAGUGGAAAGCUCAUCAAGUGACGGUAACUACCCAGAAAGGGACGGCUAACUACGUG
rnacentral:rRNA from 1 species